GGGGGGGGGGGGGGGGGGGGGGGGGGGGGGGGGGGGGGGGGGGGGGGCGGGGGGCUGGGGGGGCGGACGUUAGCGGGGGGCGGGUGCGUAGCGCCUGGAGCGCCUCCCUCGCAGACUGGGACGGCUUCGGUGUGCGGGCGCGAAUACCGGGUGAUCUCUUGAGCCGCAGGUGUCACUAGUGAAAGACGUUGUUGACUUCAUUUAUCGUCGUCGCCGCGCCUCCUUAGCUAGUUGGUAAGGUAACGGCUUACCAAGGCGACGAUGAGAAGCCGACCUGAAAGGGUGAUCGGCCACCCUGGAACGGAGACACGGGCCAGACUCCGACGGGAGGCAGCAGUAGGGAAUCUUCCGCAAUGGGCGAAAGCCUGACGGAGCAACGCCGCGUGAGUGAUGAAGGUCUGCGGAUCGUAAAACUCUGUUAUUAGGGAAGAACAAAUGUGUAAGUAACUAUGCACGUCUUGACGGUACCUAAUCAGAAAGCCACGGCUAACUACGUG
rnacentral:rRNA from 1 species